CACGUAGGGGGCGAGCGUUGUCCGGAAUCAUUGGGCGUAAAGAGCUCGUAGGCGGCUCGGUAAGUCGGGUGUGAAACCCCCAGGCUCAACCUGGGGACGCCACCCGAUACUGCUGUGGCUAGAGUCCAGUAGGGGAGUGUGGAAUUCCCGGUGUAGCGGUGAAAUGCGUAGAGAUGUGGAGGAACACCGAUGGCGAAGGCAGCCCCCUGGGCUGAGAUUGACGCUCAGGCACGAAAGCGUGGGGAGCAAACAGG
rnacentral:rRNA from 1 species